CUGAGAUGGGACCAUAAUAUUAGGAAAUUAGCAAGGAUAAAUUGGGUCUACAUAGCCAACAAUAGACAAAGAAUGAUGAUGAGACGAUAAGUUUUAGCUUUUAACCAACUGAAAACUGAAGUAGAUAAAACAUGGAUAAAACCAGGGUAAACCUAUAUAUUCUUAAUCUAAUGAUAAAAUCACGAACAAUAUUCAGUAUUCAUUAUUGUCAAUGUUGGAUUGGUUAAUCAUUUGAGAUUUUUAAAAUAAGGACUUAAAAUAAGGAACAUCACAAGAGAAACGAUUGGAUAUAGAUUGGAAAA
rnacentral:lncRNA from 1 species